rnacentral:antisense_RNA from 1 species
UAAGGCGCGACAUUGCUCACAUUGCUUCCAGUACUUUUAUUAGCCGGCUCGGGUGCCGGCUACUUUUU